rnacentral:rRNA from 1 species
UACGAAGGGGCUAGCGUUGCUCGGAAUCACUGGGCGUAAAGGGUGCGUAGGCGGGUCUUUAAGUCAGGGGUGAAAUCCUGGGAGCCUCAACUCCAGAACUGCCUUUGAUACUGAGGAUCUUGAGUUCGGGAGAGGGUGAGUGGAACUGCGAGUGUAGAGGUGAAAUUCGUAGAUAUUCGCAAGAACACCAGUGGCGAAGGCGGACUCACUGGCCCGAUACUGACGCUGAGACGCGAAAGCGUGGGAGCGAACGAG